UGUGUGUGGUAAACAUGCUUCUUUUUCUUUAUUUAUUUGUUUUUAUUAUUAUUGUAGGAAUGUUUUUGCAGUUGAGAUUUUGGGAUUGCCUUUUCUCUGGGACUGAGUUCAAAUGCAACCACGGAGCUGAAACAGUGCAUCAGUUCCCACUAGUACUGCAGACAUAAGAAUUCAGAAUAACACUUCUACGCCUACAAAUACAUAACAACGGAGUUUGGGGUCAACUACAGAACCAAAAGGAAAACACCACUGAUGGGAUCCUUCACAGCUGAAUUUAGUCGGCUGCAACAUGGACACUGGCAGCUCAUUUGUUCCUUGCUUAUACCAACAUGGAUGUCAUUUUCAAGCUAUGCAGUCGGAUAGUCUGGCAAGAAACUGGACAGAAUUACCUCUUUGUUAGCUCUUUUAACAGAACUUCUAGUGUUUCUGGGGAUUUCUUCAUUUGUAAACCUCUGUUGGUGACAGAAACCUUUAGUCACUUGGGAUCUCAUCUGCCUAAACCGGUGCUGAGAGAAGCAUGAUGAAAGAUGGAGAGCCAGACACCAUAUCAGAAGUCACCUGAUAAGAGCUGGCAGUGGAUUUGAUGAAAGUUUGUGAACCUGGAAAUAUUUUGAAUAAAACAUUUCAAGUAAGCUGAAAUUAACA
rnacentral:lncRNA from 1 species